GAUUACAAUUCAGAAGGCAUUUCAAAAACAUUAGAACAGUCACCCACUGUUACAUCGGUAGAGCUGUUAAAAAGGAAGAAAUAUCUCAAUCUGUGAUUUGAAAAUGGCCUUCAAACCAAAUGUACGAGACAUCCCAAAUUACAGCUUCUACCCGAAGGAAGAGAGAAGACCUAUUGCAGACUCCAUCUGAGCCUUUAAAUUCUUUGCUUUAGCAGGCUCUUAUUCCUAGAGGUGCAAAAAACUAUGAGAGGCAGGAGCAUGAGGAUCUGGGAGAAUUUCUCCAACCAGCUGUUACUCUUCUCUUCCAACGAACGUUUAUCCAAAAGGCAACUGUGAAAAAGAAUAUAAAACGAAGGAAGGAUAUUCUGUUCGCUAAGAUAUUUUUUAAAAUUUAUAAUAAGGAACAAAA